CGGUGUAGCGGUGAAAUGCGUAGAUAUCGGGAAGAACACCAGUGGCGAAAGCGCUCUGCUGGGCCAUCACUGACGCUCAUGGACGAAAGCCAGGGGAGCGAAAGGGAUUAGAUACCCCUGUAGUCCUGGCCGUAAACGAUGAACACUAGGUGUCGGGGGAGUCGACCCCUCCGGUGUCGUAGCCAACGCGUUAAGUGUUCCGCCUGGGGAGUACGCACGCAAGUGUGAAACUCAAAGGAAUUGACGGGGGCCCGCACAAGCGGUGGAGUAUGUGGUUUAAUUCGAUGCAACGCGAAGAACCUUACCAGGGCUUGACAUCCUGCGAAUCUCUGGGAAACCGGAGAGUGCCUUCGGGAACGCAGUGACAGGUGGUGCAUGGCUGUCGUCAGCUCGUGUCGUGAGAUGUUGGGUUAAGUCCCGCAACGAGCGCAACCCACGUCUUUAGUUGCCAGCAUUUAGUUGGGCACUCUAGAGAGACUGCCGGUGAUAAACCGGAGGAAGGUGUGGAUGACGUCAAGUCAUCAUGCCCCUUACAUCCUGGGCUACACACGUACUACAAUGCUACGGACAAAGGGCUGCAAGUUCGCGAGGACAAGCAAAUCCCAUAAACCGUGGCUCAGUUCAGAUCGUAGGCUGCAACUCGCCUACGUGAAGGCGGAAUCGCUAGUAAUCGCAGGUCAGCAUACUGCGGUGAAUACGUUCCCGGGCCUUGUACACACCGCCCGUCACACCAUGGAAGUUGGCCACGCCCGAAGCCGUUACUCCAACCCUUGUGGAGGAGGACGUCGAAGGUGGGGCUGAUGACUGGGGUGAAGUCGUAACAAGGUAACCGUA
rnacentral:rRNA from 1 species